GCUUGUGUGGCUCAGUGGAUAGAGCAUUGGCCUGUGGACUGAAGGGUCCCAGGUUCAAUUCCAGUCAAAGGCA
rnacentral:tRNA from 1 species